rnacentral:misc_RNA from 1 species
UUAAGUUCAGCGGGUAUUCCUACCUGAUCCGAGGUCAACCGUAAAAAAUGGGGGGUUCUGGCAGGCAACCGCCGGGACCCUAUAGCGAGAGAAUUACUACGCUUAGAGCCAGACGGCACCGCCACUGAUUUUAAAGGACGCGAGACCGCGAACCCCAAGACCAAGCCGAGGCUUGAGUGGUUAUAAUGACGCUCGAACAG